rnacentral:lncRNA from 12 species
AGUUGGACAAAUGUGGUCAAGAACUGCUGUCAGCCCUAUACUCCCCCAUGGAGAAUAUGCAAGAGAAUGAAAAAGCCAAAGGCCAAAAAGAAAGAGUGGAAGAGAACCAGAUCAGCAAAACUGGGGAUAGUCACCACUUCUUCUACCCUUGCCACGGUCUCUCCAGAAGACUGGGAGCCGGUCACACAGACCAAGGGUGAGGUCCUCAUAAUUGACCUUUCAGAUUAUAAGCUAGUUGUCACCUGCUACAUGUGGAAAGGAGAUGUUUGGCAUGGCACUGAUCAAUGUGUAUAUUUGCUGAGAAGUUUACCCCAGGAGAAAAGAGAAAACAAGCUGUGUGAAUGGAAUUUGGAGAAAGAGUGAAAACAAAAUGCUUCCUACAUCUACUUUUGAAACACGAAAGUACCUCCUUUUAAUGGAAAAUGUCUGGGAGUCACUGCCUUGAAAAAAUUUCUAAAAAGUACUCUCAACAUCCUAAACUAUAGGAAAAUAACUUGUGGAUAAUGAGCUCCACAUUCUUUCUCUCCUUCUUUGCCCUCUUUAUCUCCGAGAAUGUGAGGAGUUGGCAUUGAACAUAGCAGUGACUUAUGGACAACCUCAAAGGUCUAUGGGAAAAAAAAAAUCUGCAGUUUUGCUGAGGCAAGCAUCAGAAUCCCAAACAUUAUUGUCUGAGAACAAAUCACUUGAUUAGUGAGUGGGCUCAGCCAUCCACCUGGUAUUCACAUCUUAGGCAAGAUCUUAUGGUUCUCUAUAAUCAUCACAUCUGCAAUAAAUUCUGCGAAAAGAUAAUACCUAUGUUUCUU